rnacentral:rRNA from 1 species
UACGGAGGGUGCAAGCGUUAAUCGGAAUUACUGGGCGUAAAGGGCGCGUAGGUGGUAUCUUAAGUUGGGUGUGAAAUCCCCGGGCUCAACCUGGGAAUUGCAUCCAAAACUGGGGUGCUAGAGUGUGGUAGAGGGUAGCGGAAUUUCUGGUGUAGCGGUGAAAUGCGUAGAUAUCAGAAGGAACAUCAAUGGCGAAGGCAGCUACCUGGGCCAACACUGACGCUGAGGCGCGAAAGCGUGGGGAGCAAACAGG